rnacentral:rRNA from 2 species
AGAGUUUGAUCCUGGCUCAGGACGAACGCUGGCGGCAUGCCUAAUACAUGCAAGUCGAACGCGGCCAUCCGGUGCUUGCACUGGUGAAGCCGAGUGGCGAACGGGUGAGUAACACGUGAGAAACCUGCCCUGGAGUGGGGAAUAACUCGAAGAAAUUCGAGCUAAUACCGCAUACCUUCUCUUCACCGCAUGGUGAGUUGAAGAAAGAUUUAUCGCUCUAGGAGGGUCUCGCGGCCUAUCAGCUAGUUGGUGAGGUAAUGGCUCACCAAGGCAUCGACGGGUAGCUGGUCUGAGAGGACGAUCAGCCACACUGGGACUGAGACACGGCCCAGACUCCUACGGGAGGCAGCAGUAGGGAAUCUUGCGCAAUGGGCGAAAGCCUGACGCAGCAAUGCCGCGUGCGGGACGAAGGCCCUAGGGUCGUAAACCGCUUUCAGUAGGGACGAAAAUGACGGUACCUGCAGAAGAAGCUCCGGCCAACUACGUGCCAGCAGCCGCGGUGAUACGUAGGGAGCAAGCGUUGUCCGGAAUUACUGGGCGUAAAGGGCUCGUAGGUGGUUGAGUAAGUCAGAUGUGAAAUCUCAGGGCCCAACCCUGAGCCUGCAUUUGAUACUGCUCUGACUAGAGUCCGGUAGGGGAGUGCGGAACUCCUGGUGUAGCGGUGAAAUGCGCAGAUAUCAGGAAGAACACCGACAGCGAAGGCAGCACUCUGGGCCGGUACUGACACUGAGGAGCGAAAGCAUGGGUAGCAAACAGGAUUAGAUACCCUGGUAGUCCAUGCCGUAAACGUUGGGCACUAGGUGU